rnacentral:rRNA from 1 species
UACGUAGGGGGCAAGCGUUGUCCGGAAUCAUUGGGCGUAAAGAGCGCGUAGGCGGCCCUGUAAGUCCGCUGUGAAAGUCAAGGGCUCAACCCUUGGAUGCCGGUGGAUACUGCAGGGCUAGAGUCCGGAAGAGGCGAGUGGAAUUCCUGGUGUAGCGGUGAAAUGCGCAGAUAUCAGGAGGAACACCGAUGGCGAAGGCGGGUCUCUGGGCCGAUACUGACGCUGAGGAGCGAAAGCAUGGGUAGCGAACAGG